CUCCCGGAAGACGCGUCAUCGUAUUGAGCAGACCAGCCAUUGGCUGGCAGGCUGUGCGGUUACGUCAUUGAGAAACAAGCAGCUGCUGUCAAGCAGGGCGUUGCCAUGGAGCCGGGGAUGGGAGCGGUAGCAAGUUAAAGCUUUCCGGGGUCCAGAUGAGAGCAGUAAGCAGCACCAAUACAAUCAUCAACGCACAGGAAAAGAGUUGUGGGAGAGGACCUGAAUAGGACUGGAACAAGGAAUGUUCAACAUAUCCCACAAAAAGACAGGCAUAACAAGGGGCUCAUGUGGGCGGUGGAGUGACACAGGGCAGGGUGUUCGUGGUAUGAAGUGAUAUGGUGGAAAAAGGAGUCACCAAUUGCCAGGAGUUAAAUUGAGAAUAAGCAUUGGAGGGAAAAUAUCAACUUCAGCAGCCUUAUUCCCUUGAUCUCCCCCAGGCACAUGAGCUUUGUCUUUAUUCCUUCACACCAACUGUGUACCCUACUCCUUCACACUACCCAUUCCCCUUUAUACACCCCCAUUCCUAAUCAAUACCCUAUCUCUUUCCCUUUUAACAACCCACUUAAUCCCUGUAUCCUCCCCACUCCCACUCACUUCCCCCCCAAGGAUGGGUGCCAAGAUGCCAGAUGCCAACUCACCCCCAAGCAAAUUCUCUCAUCCCUUUCAGCCCUUUACUGAAUGGGAGUGUUACCACUGAGUCAUAGCUGACGCCUCCUGACAGGUCACCAUUUGGCAUUUCCACCAUGAUCCCAGCACCAAACACAUUUUAUCUUCUCUUCCGUUUUCUGAAGGAACCAUUUUCUUUGUGACACCAUAGUUAAUUCUUCCAUCAUCCUAACACUUGCUCCUCUUCCUCUCGCACCUUGCUGUGAAAAUACAGGAGAGGCAACACCUGCACAUUCAUCUCCCACACCACAGAUUUCCAGCAUCUGUGGCAUUUGACAUUUUAUUUAUAUCUCCCAAGCUGGAACCUUGUAAAUUCAAACAGGUCGAACCAGUUCAGUCAGAGCUGAGCAAACAACCAUGUGCAGAAGAGAUGCCUAAAGUUCAAAAUUACAUCAUUCACAACAACAUGAUUAAGUGUAUCCAUUAAAUUAUUUUUAUUAUUAAAUUAAAGUUCUUACUUGAA